AUAUAUACACAUAUAUAUAUAUAUUGCAAUUUAACAAUUGCACCUAGAAUUCACGCGGGGCCUAUGAAAGUGCAGGGCCCACUGCGACCGCAUAGGUGGCAGUGGCUUAAGACCGGCCCUGGUCUUAAAUAUAUUAGAUUACCUAGACCUAGAGUAGAGUAAUUUAUUAUUAUUAAGAACAAUAAGAGUUAGAUGUUAAUGCUAGCUUCGAUCAGAUAAUCAGUAUUUAACAUAUAAUAUAUUUAUAUAACCACUAGUUCUAUAUA